rnacentral:rRNA from 1 species
UUCUGGUUGAUCCUGCCGGAGGCUACCGCUAUUGGAGUUCGAUUAAGCCAUGCGAGUCGAGAGUCUUAGGGACUCGGCGUACCGCUCAGUAACACGUGGGUAACCUGCCCUAUGCUGGGGAAUAACCUCGGGAAACUGAGAAUAAUACCCCAUAGUUCACCACGCCUGGAACGGUGGGUGGAUGAAAGCUCCGGCGGCAUAGGAUGGGCCUGCGACGUAUCAGGUUGUAGGGGGUGUAACGUACCCUCUAGCCAUCAACGCGUACGGGUGCUGGGAGACAUAGCCCGGAGAUGGAUUCUGAGACACGAAUCCAGACCCUACGGGGUGCAGCAGGCGCGAAAACUUGGCAAUGCGAGCAAUCGUGACCAGGGAACUCCAAGUGGCUGGGGUAAUACCCAGUUUUUUCUUGACUCUUCAAAGGUCUUGGAAUAAGGGGUGGGUAAGGACGGUGCCAGCCGCCGCGGUAAUACCGGCGCCUCAAGUGGUAGUCGCUUUUAUUGGGCCUAAAACGUCCGUAGCCCGGUCUGGUGCAUUCGUGGGUAAAUCAACCCGCUCAACGGGUUGAAUUCUGCGGCACGGCCAGACUUGGGACCGGGAGAGGUGUGGGGUACUCUCAGGGUAGGGGUAAAAUCCCUGUCUCCUGAGAGGACCACCUGUUGCGAAGGCGCCACACUAGAACGGAUUC